rnacentral:rRNA from 1 species
AACGCGAAGAACCUUACCAGGUCUUGACAUCCUCUGACACCCCUAGAGAUAGGGCUUCCCCUUCGGGGGCAGAGUGACAGGUGGUGCAUGGUUGUCGUCAGCUCGUGUCGUGAGAUGUUGGGUUAAGUCCCGCAACGAGCGCAACCCUUGAUCUUAGUUGCCAGCAUUCAGUUGGGCACUCUAAGGUGACUGCCGGUGACAAACCGGAGGAAGGUGGGGAUGACGUCAAAUCAUCAUGCCCCUUAUGACCUGGGCUACACACGUGCUACAAUGGACAGAACAAAGGGCAGCGAGACCGCGAGGUUAAGCCAAUCCCACAAAUCUGUUCUCAGUUCGGAUCGCAGUCUGCAACUCGACUGCGUGAAGCUGGAAUCGCUAGUAAUCGCGGAUCAGCAUGCCGCGGUGAAUACGUUCCCGGGCCUUGUACACACCG